GCCUACCAUGGUGGUAACGGGUAACGGGGUGUUAGGGCACGACACCGGAGAGGGAGCCUGAGAAACGGCUACCACAUCCAAGGAAGGCAGCAGGCGCGCAAAUUACCCAAUCCCGACACGGGGAGGUAGUGACAAUAAAUAACAAUACAGGGCUCUUUUGGGUCUUGUAAUUGGAAUGAGUACAAUUUAAAUCUCUUAACGAGGAACAAUUGGAGGGCAAGUCUGGUGCCAGCAGCCGCGGUAAUUCCAGCUCCAAUAGCGUAUAUUAAAGUUGUUGCAGUUAAAAAGCUCGUAGUUGAAUUCCGGGAUCAAUAUGUCGGUCGUGCCUUCGGUACGCACUGGUAUCAUUGGUUUCUCCUUUCUGACGAACCAUGAUGUCAUUAAUUUGGUGUUAUGGGGAGUUAGGACUGUUACUUUGAAAAAAUUAGAGUGUUUAAAGCAGGCUUUAGCUUGAAUACAUUAGCAUGGAAUAAUGAAAUAGGACGUUCGAACCUAUUUUGUUGGUUUCUAGGAUCAACGUAAUGAUUAAUAGGGAUAGUUGGGGGCAUUAGUAUUCAAUUGUCAGAGGUGAAAUUCUUGGAUUUAUUGAAGACUAACUACUGCGAAAGCAUUUGCCAAGGAUGUUUUCAUUAAUCAAGAACGAAAGUUAGGGGAUCGAAGACGAUCAGAUACCGUCGUA
rnacentral:rRNA from 1 species